GUGGGGAAUAUUGCACAAUGGGGGAAACCCUGAUGCAGCGACGCCGCGUGAAGGAAGAAGUAUUUCGGUAUGUAAACUUCUAUCAGCAGGGAAGAAAAUGACGGUACCUGACUAAGAAGCCCCGGCUAACUACGUGCCAGCAGCCGCGGUAAUACGUAGGGGGCAAGCGUUAUCCGGAUUUACUGGGUGUAAAGGGAGCGUAGGCGGCAUGGUAAGUCUGGUGUGAAAGGCAGGGGCUCAACCCCUGGACUGCAUUGGAAACUAUCAAGCUAGAGUGCCGGAGAGGUAAGUGGAAUUCCUAGUGUAGCGGUGAAAUGCGUAGAUAUUAGGAGGAACACCAGUGGCGAAGGCGGCUUACUGGACGGUAACUGACGCUGAGGCUCGAAAGCGUGGGGAGCAAACAGGAUUAGAUACCCCGGUAGUCC
rnacentral:rRNA from 1 species